CUGACCAGCAUGCCGCGUGCAGUGAUGACUGCCUUAUGGGUUGUAAACUGUUUUUGUACGGAAGAAAACCCUUUCACGUGUGAGAGUUGAUGGACCGUACGAUUAAGGAUCGGCUAACUUCAUGCCAGCAGCCGCGGUAAU
rnacentral:rRNA from 1 species